rnacentral:lncRNA from 1 species
CAGGAGAUGUAUGCUGGAGGCACCAUGGUUGGUGACAGGAAGAGUUCGUGAAGUCCUUAGACACUCAUUAACAGGAAGUGACGUCGUUAAGGAGGUAUCUCCACGCUGGUGGCAACUCUUGUACAGGGUGGUCAUUUAGAAGGGAAUCACAAUCUGCUCUUGUAUAAAUUUCCAUGGCUGCGGCGGCAUGUUCUUCUUUCGCAACAGUUUGUAUAACUCAUUCUUCUGGCCCUUUUGCUACGAUGUCAUCCUCAAAAGCAUUUCUCGCUAGUGCUGUGCAUAAUUUACCUUUAAGCAAGUCUUUUUUGUGCUCCUUCAAUCUUACUUCUAAAGUUCUAGAUGUGAUACCAAUAUAUGUCCCUUCCUUAUUUUUUGUGUUAUUUACUGUGGGAAUCUUAUAUACCCCCCGCUUUUUGCCCUUCAUUCCUUCUAUCUUUGUCAUUCCUUAGGCACUCAUAAAGUGUGUGGUAUCUUUUAAAGGCAAUCUUCUUACUACUUUUCUUAGCUAAAUCCUUAACAGUUCUAUAUUUGCUCAUAGCGAACGGUAUGGCCUCGUAUUCAGUACUGC